rnacentral:lncRNA from 1 species
CGAGGAGGCGGAGGCGGGGGAGAAGUGAUGCUGGCGCCAGGGAUCCGGGCAGCGGCAGCGGAGAAUAAGCAUCUUCGGGACCCCGGCUGCAGCGUCCCUGUGGCCCGCGGGCCAGCAGAACGGCCAGAGACGGCGCGUCCCGCGGAUCUGUUAGAGCCACGUCAAGGACUGCUGUGUCCAGGAGUGGAGAAAGGCUUAUGUGAGACAAGAGACUCUACUGUCAGAAGAAAGCAAAUGAUUUCAUCAUAGAAUUCACUUGGAAAAGUCACGUGGAGCAACUCCAGCUAAAGAAGCAUGAAGACUAGUCUACUGGGGAAAGAAGAAAUGGGUUUCCACGGACCUAUCAAUGAUACUCAUC